AUUGAACGCUGGCGGCAGGCUUAACACAUGCAAGUCGAGCGGAGAUGAGGUGCUUGCACCUUAUCUUAGCGGCGGACGGGUGAGUAAUGCUUAGGAAUCUGCCUAUUAGUGGGGGACAACAUUCCGAAAGGGAUGCUAAUACCGCCUACGUCCUACGGGAGAAAGCAGGGGAUCUUCGGACCUUGCGCUAAUAGAUGAGCCUAAGUCGGAUUAGCUAGUUGGUGGGGUAAAGGCCUACCAAGGCGACGAUCUGUAGCGGGUCUGAGAGGAUACACCGCCACAAGGGUACUGAUACGCGGCCCAGCCUCCUACGGGAGGUAGAAGUGGGGAAUAUCGGACAAUGGCGGAAGUCCUGACCCAGCCAUGCCGCGUGUGUGAAGAAGGCCUUAUGGUUGUAAAGCUGUUUAAGCCAGUAGGAGGCUACUGCGACUAAUACUCUUGGAUAGUGGACGUUACUCGCAGAAUAAGCACCGGCUAACUCUGUGCCAGCCGCCGCCGUAACAC
rnacentral:rRNA from 1 species